rnacentral:rRNA from 1 species
UACGUAGGGUCCAAGCGUUGUCCGGAUUUAUUGGGCGUAAAGAGCUCGUAGGCGGUUUCAUAAGUCGGAUGUGAAAACUCAGGGCUCAACCCGGAGACGCCAUCUGAUACUGCGAUGACUUGAGUCUGGUAGGGGAACACGGAAUUCCUGGUGUAGCGGUGAAAUGCGCAGAUAUCAGGAGGAACACCGAUGGCGAAGGCAGUGUUCUGGGCCAGUACUGACGCUGAGGAGCGAAAGCGUGGGGAGCAAACAGG